AACGAACGCUGGCGGCAGGCUUAACACAUGCAAGUCGAACGAUCUCUUCGGAGGUAGUGGCAGACGGGUGAGUAACACGUGGGAACGUACCUUUCAGUCAGGAACAACUCAUGGAAACGUGAGCUAAUACCCGAUACGCCCUUUUGGGGAAAGAUUUAUCGCUGAAAGAUCGGCCCGCGUCUGAUUAGCUAGUUGGUGGGGUAAUGGCCUACCAAGGCGACGAUCAGUAGCUGGUCUGAGAGGAUGAUCAGCCACACUGGGACUGAGACACGGCCCAGACUCCUACGGGAGGCAGCAGUGGGGAAUAUUGGACAAUGGGCGCAAGCCUGAUCCAGCCAUGCCGCGUGAGUGAUGACGGCCUUAGGGUUGUAAAGCACUUUUCUGGGAGAUGAGAAAGGACAGUAUCCCAGGAAUAAGUCUCGGCUAACUACGUGCCAGCCGCCACAGUAAUAC
rnacentral:rRNA from 1 species